ACAAAUGUCAAAUCAAGAUUUCUUUGGUUGUUUAGCUAUAUGAAUGUCUAGGUCAUAUACUGCAUAAUCAAAGUUGUCUGAUUUGAGUAAGCUUCC
rnacentral:pre_miRNA from 1 species